AUUGAACGCUGGCGGCAGGCCUAACACAUGCAAGUCGAGCGGUAGAGAGGUGCUUGCAUCUCUUGAGAGCGGCGGACGGGUGAGUAAUGCCUAGGAAUCUGCCUAGUGGUGGGGGAUAACGUUCGGAAACGGACGCUAAUACCGCAUACGUCCUACGGGAGAAAGCGGGGGAUCUUCGGACCUCGCGCCAUUAGAUGAGCCUAGGUCGGAUUAGCUAGUUGGUGAGGUAAUGGCUCACCAAAGGCGACGAUCCGUAACUGGUCUGAGAGGAUGAUCAGUCA
rnacentral:rRNA from 1 species